AUCCUUUUGUUUUUUUAUGCUAUUAAAAUAACAAUGUCUUGAUUUUCUAAUGCAUAAAAAGUAAUUAACUAAUUCAUAAACGGUUCUUCUCUGUGCGGCAUUCAAGGGUGACCUUUUCCACUCCACACAAAAUGCUUAAUGUACUUUUGUAAUCGACAUUAUUACAAUAUCACGAGUUAAUGAACAUUAUAACACGAGCAUUAUAACAUAAUAACAUUGAACACGAGUUAAUGUUAAUCAACAUUAAUGAUGUUUUACAGUUAAAAGGCAAAAAGUUGCUGUCGUGCAUGAUGCAAGAUUAAGUAUGCAUCGUCUUUUGUCAAAUUCAUACAUUUAAUCCAUAAAUUAAAUGAGUAACCAAACAAAAUAACUGCCGAAAAAUAGCUGACGAAUUCAGUAUCAAAAUUCAUCUUUGCAAUGCUGAGGAAAUAGAUGCAGCAUCUGAAAUAUCAUUGUUUAAUGCAGCUUACAUUGGAUCAACAAUGACUUAAUUAAUAGCUAAUUAAUAAAGGACAAAAAGUAAUACUUUGAUUUAAACAUAAAACGUUGAAUAUUUAUUUUUUUAUUUAUUUUAAAUUAAAAAUUGAAUCUAUAAUUAAAAAAAUUAAAAUUAAGACCGCCACUAGGUGGCAGCAAGUCACCUUUAUUAAGUGAGUCAUUGAGAUUCAACAGAUUCAUUUGGCUUGUUCAUUCAGGAACGAAGCGUUAUAAUGUACAGCGAGUCAUCAAACAAUUCGUUCUGAUAGAUAGAUAGAUAGAUAGAUAGAUAGAUAGAUAGAUAGAUAGAUAGAUAGUACAAGUUACUUAUAUGUAAUUGUAAUUUACACUAACAGCCUCAAUGAUUCAUUUUUUAUUAGUGAGAAUAUUUUAAAAUCUUAAUCAUAACAUCUGUAGCAACAACUCGUAAUAAAAAAAAAUUAUAUUGUAGGAACAUCUGUGGUGAUGUCACAGUAACCAGGUUAAGGUGAUGAGGAAAUUAAAUUGCUACAUUUGAAGUCACAAUUGCACUGCUUCCACCAAAAUGAAAAAAAAAAAGCAUAUUCAGAGGUCUUGAAGGGACGGUGACAAUUGAAGUGAAAUGUGAAAAUACAUUUAAAUGUGGCAUGCAAGAUUACCUUUCAUACUCUUUUUUUUUUUUAAAGUGUUGAGCAUUACAACCAAUCACACACAUCUCUUUUGAGCUCAUGAAGCAAUAACCAAUCAGAUGAGUUUAGAUUAGUUACCGGUGAAGAAAAAUCUGCUAAUAUCGCGGGAGUUUUGUAGCUCUCGCACCAUGUGCUCAGUCAGUGACGCAGGACUUUCUGAGGGGAAAUUUCAGUCAGUGUGUGACGCACCCUGAAAACUCUGAAUACAGAUGCGAUGCAACUGGAGUUUCAUUGGGAGUUUUUCAAUUAGAACAUCUGGAUUUCCUGAGAAGAUUGCCUCAGGAACUAUGUACACUACUGAGUCACUGCUGAGGAAGUGGCAGGUUUCAUUGAUCUCAGAGACCCCGAUGAUGUCCACCUCUACAUCCUCUACCUGGCCCUCCGGGAUCUGUUGGGGGAGGGGGAUAUUAAUGGAUAUUAAAUUCUUGUUUAAUUGACCUGUUGCAUUAAAAAAGAUCACAUUUCAUCUUUAGCCUAUUAUCAGAUUGCAGUUGUGCUGAUGAUCAGAACAGUUGAGCUUUUGUUCUUGUUAUAUUCACUCAUUAACGUAGGUUUACAGUUCCAAAAUGCAUGUUAUACUUGAAUGACAUAGCAGCAGUAAUGUGUGCAUUAAUUACCUUCACAGAAGUAUAUGUAGAGGAGUGAAAUUUCCCCUCCCCAUUGUUUAGCAUACAGGGACGAAGGUGGGUCAGAAUGACUUCGUCGCCUACAUAUAGAUCUGUCAGAGCCUCAUCCCUCCACAAUGACACGUUGAACAGUUUCUGUCCACACUGCAGCUGGAUGUCGAGAAUGGGCACAUGGGUGCGUGUCAUCCUCGCGCCACGCACCUAGGAUAUUAAAAUUCAUGGGGAGACAUCAAAAGUAUGCGGUGUUGAGGGUUCCUGGAAGUCCACAGUGCCAUCAUGAUUGACAGAUAAAAAUCCAUGUCCUUCCUUCUUCAAUUGAAAAGAAAUUAAGGUUUCUGAUAAACAUUCUAGGACUAUUCUCCUUAUAGUGGACUACCAUGGUCUCCAAACAUUUUAAGGUCAA